rnacentral:tRNA from 1 species
GCGCCUGUAGCUCAAUUGGAUAGAGCAUCAGCCUACGGAGCUGGUUGUUAGAGGUUCAAGUCCUCUCAGGCGCG